rnacentral:rRNA from 1 species
UACGAGAGCCCCGAGCGUUAUCCGGAAUUAUUGGGCGUAAAGGGUGCGUAGGUGGCACUGUUAGUCGUUUGUUAAAUCCUCGGGCUUAACCUGAGAACCGCGAACGAAACGGCAGAGCUAGAGAGUGUGAGGGGUAUAGGGAACUAAUAGUGUAGGGGUGAAAUCCGUUGAUAUUAUUGGGAACACCAAAAGCGAAGGCACUAUACUGGCACAUAUCUGACACUCAAGCACGAAAGCGUGGGUAGCGAAUGGG